UUGGAGUCUCAGAGAGUUGAGUAUGGCUCAGGAUGAACGCUGCGGCGUGCCUAACACAUGCAAGUCGAACGGAGUAACGAGAGUUACUUUGUUACUUAGUGGCGGACGGGUGAGUAAUGCGUGAGCAACCUGCCUUCAGAGGGGGACAACAGUUGGAAACGACUGCUAAUACCGCAUAACAUACACGGAUGGCAUCAUCUGUGUAUCAAAGGAGCAAUCCGCUGAAAGAUGGGCUCACGUCUGAUUAGCUGGUUGGCGGGGUAACGGCCCACCAAGGCGACGAUCAGUAGCCGGACUGAGAGGUUGAACGGCCACAUUGGGACUGAGAUACGGCCCAGACUCCUACGGGAGGCAGCAGUGGGGAAUAUUGGGCAAUGGGCGAAAGCCUGACCCAAGCAACGCCGCGUGAAGGAAGAAGGUCCUCGGAUUGUAAACUUCUUUUAUGAGGGACGAAGGACGUGACGGUACCUCAUGAAUAAGCCACGGCUAACUACGUGCCAGCAGCUGC
rnacentral:rRNA from 1 species